CCAACUAUCUUGUCGUCUCUGGUACGUUAGGGGCGAAAAAAAAAACUCCAAAUAAUUGCUUUCGGUUGAUCACAGUUGAUACACAAACCUGCUGAUUGCCACUCUGACCCACAUCGAGACUCUGUGGAGCGGACAAAACUAACCAGCAGGCUCUUUGACCCUCUUUACCACUUCCGGUGCUCUAAUUGUGAAAGCAAUCACUGUUAACCCUCUCGCAGGAUCCUCUUGUCACCUGAUGUUGCCGGGGCUCAAUCUAAAAUCCUUCUCUUCUUCAUCUACAUCAGGCUCUGGAGUUUAUUGGUUCGCAACUCUCCCGUUUCGUCCGUUGGUCGCUCGUAUCCUGCCGACAAGACAACCACCGACCCGUCGCACGUAGAUCCAGCAGCUUCGUAUCGUUUCGGUAAGACCCUGUUACCAAUUUAUGCAUAAUCGGAGAGCAAAUCUAUUUCCAGCGGUUGACAGGUAAUUUUGAAACUUUAGCCCACAAUACUCACCGCUCCGGUUGAAGCAUCCCCACACAUACAAACAGCUCGAACUGUUGCCCGUGUCGGGUCUGGUUCGGUCUUGCGUUACGGGCGUACCGUAACAUCUACACCGAACAUUGUUGGUGUGUGCGAGUGUAUGUUUGCGAGAUAGCUAGAUCUCGGGACGGGCUUUUAAGCGACGGGCACACAUUUGAAUCUUCAACCACACAGAACGCGCCCGUAAGUAUAUAGAGGCCACCAGCGAAAAGGAAAAAAAAACACACACACACAGAAUCACAAUCAAUGGCGGAAAACUCAAUUUUCCCGGAAUUCCAUUUUGGCGUGUAACGCUCAUCAUCACCAUUUACACCUUGCCCCCGGUAAGAUUGCGUCCGUCGCCUUCUGCCCUUCGGCGAAGUUUGUUUAUUGCGGUACGCUGUCAACCGUGCUGUCACUGCGUUGGUUUGUUUACGUGCAACCAUGCGGUCCUUGUUUUUGUUGCGGUGUUCACUCCAAACCCGAGCUCUGACAUUUCGUUACAAGUGAGCUAGUGGAGGUGUUCAGCCAAUGUAUUCUGAAGCUGGUGGUGGAAAAUUGGACCCGGCAUGGUGAACCCGAAGGCAGCGGUUCGUUUUUGCUCUCUGUCCGUUUAUUCUGGUUUUUCGCCCCCUGUUUGCCGCGUUUCUUGGAGACUCCCCGAAAUCGUUUGAUGUGUGUCCUCGCGGUUCUGCCAACAGAUCCCGCAUCACGCUCCCUCACACUUAUUCGCUCUGAUAAACAAGAUAAACAACCAAACCCACUCAACUGACAGACGCCUUAUAAUAGCUUAAUAGCUUUAUUUCCACCCUCGGUACAGGCAACUACUGCUGCUGGUGGUUUGCCUGAUGCUUGAAGGGUAGGAUGGUUCACCUUCGAAGGUUGGCUUUUAUUUUCCGCUCGUACCUCUUCACUACCUCCAGUCCCUGUGUCCAACUUCUCCCGGGAGAGUCCCGGGAGGACCACUUCGGUGUGCCGUUUUUCGGCGUGUGGGGUGGGUAAAGUGACACUUGGGAAUACCGGCAGGACGGCAGAAAUCAUGACACAUGAAGAAAACAGAUCUCAUCCUCCAGUUCCUACUUUCCUCCCCCUCAACUCAACGCUCACCCUUACCCAUCCAGAAUAGCUGGUUGAGGCCCUACCGAGACGAGUGGCGUAAAGUGAAAAUCGCUGAAAAUUGAGCCGAAAAUCGGCAGGGAGGGAAAUUGCGCAUCACCGCUCGCCUCCCCCUCUCUCUCACACACACACACCGAGGGAUAGGGAUUGCUGUGAUUUUAUUCCGCCGGCACUCCCGGUAUCUCCACCACGGAGAGGUGGAAUGAUUACUAGAUUAUGAUGCGUGCAUUAACAGAUUACCCUAUAAUUGAGCUCGGAAGCUGUUGUCGGGUGGUUCACGAGGGGUUUUUGCUUUCUUUUUCCCUCCUGUUCACCACUCGUACCCUCCCUCGGUUCGGGGCAACGAGGUCGGAAAAGUCGGUGCGCCGUCGAUCGAUACCCGGGGCGUAGGGGUGUUGAGGGAUUCGAGUCUAUUAAAUCUCGGUCGUUCCGUUCACUUUUAUUGGUCGUCUCGAUAAUGAAAUGGGACAUCCUUUCGCUCCCUCUCUGUUUCUCUCGCUCUCAACCUCUCUCGCUCUAUCGCGUGCGCUCUCCCGGUCGAGUCUAUCUACGCGAACUCGCUUCUUGAUGGCGAACCGAGAGCUGUAAAACACUGCUUACGGGCACUUUGGCAGCAGCAGCAGCAGCAGCAGCAAGCUUGUUAUUACCGUUCCUAGCCACCACCAGGGACGGGAAAAUUUAUGUUAACUUCAUUUUCGCCGCAAUCAAUACACACUCGGCCCCGGGACCACCGGUUCCAUUCCCCCAUUUGACCCGUCCGCCGGCUCCGACUGCUAGAAUCUGUAACAUAUUUCACUGCGUCCCUGCGACGGACGUGUGCCACCGGUACCCUCGGUGGGCGCAGUGAAAGUCAAAAGCUGCCGCAAAUUUAUCAAAAAUAUGUUAAGUUAAUUUUGAUGUUUUUACGUUUCAUAAUGAUGGUCGCACACCAUUACGCCGCACACCAGCAGGGAUGAGCCGUGGCAACUGCUCACAGAUGGUCGGAUGGGUUUCGGGUCGGAGGGUUUUUUUUUGUGUGUGUGGGCCGGAUAGGGCGUCCGGCCGUUCCGUUUCGAUAGUUUCCCGUAACCCUCCUCGGUGGGUAAUUGUGGUUGGUGAUGUUAUGUUUUGAUGAGGUUUUGUUUGUUUGUUUGCUUCACUGUCUGUCUGUGUCUGUUUGUUUAUAUAUGGUGACGAUUAAGUGGUUAAGUUGUAAUGCAAUCAUAUCAUAACGCAGCGUGGCGAGGUUUCUGCAAAUAUUUGAAAUAGGAUUAUAACGCAUGCUAAAUGAACAAUGAAAAGGAUAGGGGAAAAAAUAAA